UGGGGAAUAUUGCACAAUGGGCGCAAGCCUGAUGCAGCCAUGCCGCGUGUAUGAAGAAGGCCUUCGGGUUGUAAAGUACUUUCAGUCGGGAGGAAGGUGGUAAGGUUAAUAACCUUAUCAAUUGACGGUACCGACAGAAGAAGCACCGGCUAACUCCGUGCCAGCAGCCGCGGUAAUACGGAGGGUGCAAGCGUUAAUCGGAAUUACUGGGCGUAAAGCGCACGCAGGCGGUUGAUUGAGUCAGAUGUGAAAUCCCCGGGCUUAACCCGGGAAUUGCAUCUGAUACUGGUCAGCUAGAGUCUUGUAGAGGGGGGUAGAAUUCCAUGUGUAGCGGUGAAAUGCGUAGAGAUGUGGAGGAAUACCGGUGGCGAAGGCGGCCCCCUGGACAAAGACUGACGCUCAGGUGCGAAAGCGUGGGGAGCAAACAGG
rnacentral:rRNA from 1 species